rnacentral:rRNA from 1 species
GGUAAUUCCAGCUCCAAUAGCGUAUAUUAAAGUUGUUGCAGUUAAAAAGCCCGUAGUUGAACUUCAGACCUGGUGGGGUGGUCCGCUUAACGGCGUGUACUGCUCUGCUGGGCCUUACCUCUUGGUGAGCCGGCGUGGCCUUAACUGGUUGCGUCGGGGAACCAGGACUUUUACCUUGAGAAAAUUAGAGUGUUCAAAGCAGGCCUAUGCCUGAAUACAUUAGCAUGGAAUAAUAAAAUAGGACGUGCGGUUCUAUUUUGUUGGUUUCUAGAGUCGCCGUAAUGAUUAAUAGGGAUAGUUGGGGGCAUUGGUAUUGAGUCGCUAGAGGUGAAAUUCUUGGAUUGACUCAAGACCGACUACUGCGAAAGCAUUUGCCAAGGAUGUUUUCAUUAAUCAAGGACGAAGGUUAGGGGAUCGAAAACGAUCAGAUACCGUUGUAGUCUUAACAGUAAACUAUGCCGACUAGGGAUCGGACAACCUCAAAUUUGAUGUGUUGUUCGGCACCUUACGAGAAAUCAAAGUUUUUGGGUUCUGGGGGGAGUAUGGUCG